CCAAAACAAGUCGAAAUUUGGUUGGGACUUCACCUGCGCGCACUGUCGCUUCUCAACCGCCCGCCAUCGCAGUGAUUUGGCGUGUGCGUCAUCACACUCAGCUUCCUUCCGCUGAAACCAAACAGCUAAGAAUCAUGGCGGUAUUUUCAUGUCUGAAAUGCGGCUAUGCCUACGAGUUCCUCGUCUCAAAUAGCUUCACUCGUAGGCUCCUCACACGAACAGAUCACUGUCCCAAGUGCGAUCGCCUUUCCACGUUCCGGUUCAUGAGCGUGAGCGGCAUGGUUGGGCGGAUGCCUUACAAGCCGGUGGAUACACCUGGACCGUCCUACGCUACUUUAUACUGGCGCAAGCAGCGAAGCGGAAAGACCGCGUCACAGCCGUUAAAUGAGGUUUGUAACAAGAAUGAAUUUUGAUGCUGUUGGCCCACCGAAUGCAAAACCGAAACCUUGAAAAGAAAUGCAACGUUUUUGGCGUCCCCCGUGCGGCUUUGAUGCCUCUGCGUGGUGCGCCUCGCCCUCCUCCGCCCUUCAGCCGGCUACCAACCCACCCCACCCCUGCGCCAAACCCCACCGCCCCCCGCCGCAGGCUGGCCAGCCCCGCAGGCCCCCCCCCCCACCCACCACCAAGCAAAAAAAAACGCGGGACGGGAAACCGGCACCCGCCACGCCGACCGCGCCCACCCCAAACGAAAGCCGGCGCCAGGCAAAAAACGAAGGGAAUGAAAGCGCCCCAGAUCCGGGAGAAAGGGGCCUAAACCGCAAGCUGAACGUGCCGACCCGCCAAAACACCCCCCCCCCCAAACAAAAG
rnacentral:misc_RNA from 1 species